AUAUCCCGGAAAGCCUCUAAAGAGGCACCGAAGGAGCAAUUCUUCUAUAAAGAAGAAUCUCUCAGGUAAACAGACGGGGGAAUAAAA
rnacentral:ncRNA from 18 species